AGGGCAAAAUAGUCAAUUUAGCUAACAAAAAAUCUUCUUUUGUAACUGUUUGAGUUAUCUCUGUCCAUAUGAUCAUAUUCUCGAUCCUUAUUCUUUGUCUCUUCUUCUCUCUUCUCUUCUUUCACCUGACAAUUCUUAACGACGCUAAAUUCAAACUGUGAUUCACAUUACCUGUACAUUUAAAUUAUGUAUGUCGAUUUAGUAGUAGUACAAAAUUUUGGAGUGAUAAUCUUUAGAGCCAAAGGAAAGAAUCAUGGGUUUGGCAGAGCGAGGGAGAAAUGAUGAACGAGAAAGAAGUCCUACUCACUAUAAACGGAUACACCACAAGAUUGUCUCUAAAAUUCAUUUGGAUUUGUUUGAGCUUGAAGAUGGUGAGAAGCCACAACUCACAUGUCAAUGGAAUGGAAGAAGACAAUGUAGUUGGUUCAUACAUGAAUUAUUGAUCCAGUUGAAGAACAUGCCCGAAAGUGACUGCCUCUUGCCUAUCUUUCUGUCGGCUCCCAGUUCUCUAUAUGUUUCAGCUACAGGUUCCUUCAAUAGACUACUUUAGCAAUAUCACUACAAAAUUGAAGUACCGGAAGCAGCACAUGAAGAGAUCACUAUUGCUGAUUCUUUUUUAAAAAAUGUUAUCCAACGUCUACUUCAGAUAGAAGGGACUCUAAUAGCAUAAUUCAUGUAUUUGGGAACAGUCGUGGGUUAAUGGAAACAAUUCCAGACAUAUGCAACAAAACAUUGUCCACCACCGGGUGAACUUGUCCUUUGGAUAAUGCGUUCUAUGAUGAUUCAGUUAUUUGGGGUUUGAUUGCACCAAGAAGGAUUUUCGGGGAUUUAGGAACUUAUGGGAUAGUCAAUUGGUUCUUCUUAUUUGGUGAGAUAGCACCAGUACUUGUGUGGUUAGCAGCCAGGGCUUUCCCUAAACAAGAAUGAAUCAAACUCAUCACCAUGCCAGUUUAAUAGGAGCCACAGGGAUGAUGCCAACUGCCAUAGUUGUGAACUACACAACCUGGAUCAUCGUAGGGUUCUUGUCGGGCUUUGUUGUUUAUCUAUAUAGGCCAGAUUGAUGGCAGCGUCAUAACUACAUUCUUUCAAGUGCACUUGAUGCUUUGGCAUUUCUGGCAAUUCUUAUAUAUUUGUUCUUGGGCUUUGAGAAAAAUAAUUGUUAAUUGGUGUUGAGAUGAUCCAUUCUUAUGCUUCGUAUCCAAUAGCUAGAGGGAUUUUUAAAGAGGAUUGCCCUGUUGUUUAUUAAAUUGUGUUGUGUUGUGAAGAAGAAGAACCACAAAUACUCCAUAGAAUUCCUCAAUAUUACUUGCCCGAAUGCAUCUUAUUACUGGCUGCUAAAUGGGGAAAGUUAUAACUGCAGCAUUGUUUCAUUUGACUUGGGCAGUGUGGUGUUUUGCGGGGGUUGGAUUGCCAGACCGUCCAUAAACUUUCUACAAUUGGAGGCCAAAACUGAUAAUAUUUGAUCACUCUAUUGCCCUCUUGAUCAUGGUUGACACAUUUGUUUAUGAUUUAAGGGUAAUGAUCUAACCAGGGGUUUGGAACAAACUUCUUACCUUUAAAUGCUGUGAUAUUUUAAUGUCUUGAAAUCUUAACACUGUCGUUUUUGCAACCACACUCUCUUGCCUGUUCUCGUGUGACAUUAGGACCCAGAAGAUGAUGUCAUCUUGCCCGGUGGAGAGACUGCACACAUGGUGGUUGUUCAGUUCAUUUACAAGGAGAGCUCAGUGACAAUCAAAUGAUGGAAUAGAGAGUUGGGACCUUGCAGUUUGGCUGACAUUUUUGACUCUCAAAUUUUGCUUUGAAGGUUGUUAGUAUUUCUGUGUUGUUUCAGUUAUAACUUUACAAUUGCUAUCCUUUGGCUCAAAGAUCACAAUCUCACUUUCUUGAAUAUUUGAUCGUCUUGUUAAAUUAUUUUGGUUCAAUUUGGAAUA